GGGGGUGUACCGGUUUCGACUAGAAUGAUUCGAGGUCUUGAGUUGCAGGUGAGAGUGAAGGUUCUCUGAACUGACAAACCUAUAAUUGCCAACAAUGACAAUUACAAAGCUUACGCAUUAGCUGCAUAAGCCGGAAUACAAAUUGUGCGGCUCUGAAUGAUUUGAUAUUCUGUUACCUACCAGGGCUUGCCAUGUAAGGUUUUUGGUACUUGCAUGGGACUUUUCACCAAAAUAAGGAGCCGACGCUUGCGGUACUGCUACCGGUUCCCGACAAAUACCUCGUACCGAUAAACCUGUAGAGAUUCCUGAUCCGCUUUUUAGGACGGGGGUUCAAUUCCCCCCACUUCCAUUU
rnacentral:tmRNA from 1 species